rnacentral:tRNA from 1 species
GCGCGGAGUAGGCGGGGGCCGGGUCGGCGGGCUCCUCGGCCCGCUCGCCCUGGGGCUCCUCGGCCUCUUCCGGCUCGGGCUCCGGCUCCUCGCGC